rnacentral:lncRNA from 1 species
CUCUAUAUUCUAUUCUCUAAUCGUUUCAUUUCUCAUUCUAUUCUAUUCAUCUCUAAUUUUAUUCUCUAUUCCAUUCUAUUCAUUAUUUCCUUGCUCUUUAUUCUUAUUCAACAGUGGUGAACCCCUCCCUGACCGAAUCGACUCUGAAGAACAUCCCUCAGGUGGUAAAUGUCCGAGAGCUGAAAAGCAGCGGGUCUCCCCCGACCGUUUCUCCAGCAGUGGGGUCAUCAGUUCCUCAAAGUGCUGCUCAAGGUGUCCAUCAAGUUUUGGCUAUGGUGGCAACAAAUCAAGUCAACCAGGGGACCCCGUCAAGCACCCUGAAGAUGCAGGCGCCGCCCAGUUCGGCAGCGGCGACCGUGGCGCCCAUCAGCCAGACCUCGGUUGGGAAGAAGAAUUCAGGUCAGUUU